rnacentral:rRNA from 7 species
CUUUCAGCAACGGAUCUCUUGGCUCUCGCAUCGAUGAAGAACGCAGCGAAAUGCGAUAAGUAAUGUGAAUUGCAGAAUUCAGUGAAUCAUCGAAUCUUUGAACGCACCUUGCGCUCCUUGGUAUUCCGAGGAGCAUGCCUGUUUGAGUGUCAUGGU